GGGGGUGUACUUACACUCGAACCCGGAAAAUGCAAACAUGUAAAAUGAUGUAGACAUGUAUUGGGAGGGGGGGUGUACUUACACUCGAACCCGGAAAAUGCAAAUAUGUAAAAUGAUGUAGACAUGUAUUGGGAGGGGGUGUACUUACACUCGAACCCGGAAAAUGCAAAUCUGUAAAAUGAUGUAGACAUGUAUUGGGAGGGGGUGUACUUACACUCGAACCCGGAAAAUGCAAAUAUGUAAAAUGAUGUAGACAUGUAUUGGGAGGGGGUGUACUUACACUCGAACCCGGAAAAUGCAAACAUGUAAAAUGAUGUAGACAUGUAUUGGGAGGGGGUGUACUUACACUCGAACCCGAAGAAUAUAAACAUGUAAAAUGAUCAAGAUAUGCAUUGGGAGGUAGUGUACUUACACUCGGACCCGAAGAAUGCAAAUAAGACUCUUAACGGGCCGAUUUUGUAAAACACCAAAUUUGAGAACAAAGUAGGAAUAUAAAAGCGAAAUGAAGUCAUAAUGCAUACCGUAAGGGUUGCAAUAAUAACAACUUCGGUAAAACACCCGGUUGGUGGGUAAGGAUUUAAACACAUGCGUAGACUGAGAAACAGGAACGCGCAUGGAAAGUCAAAAGACUCGGGUUUUCGGUCAUGACCAAAGGACGAUAAGAUAACGGCAAAUAGAAAUUUUGAUGACUUACGCUCAACUAUUUUAAAGUUGAACGGGUCGAACAAAGAUUGAAGUUUGACAUUUAUAAGUGAUGAAAUUUUCACACGAACAAGUCAAACAAAAUUUAAAAAAAAGGAUGACUCUUGCUAGAGUAAGUAAGCGCGAAUCAAAUAAAAAAAAGUGUGAAAUAUUAGUAAACCUAUGUAAAGGAGUUAAAGGUGUUAAAAACAUUAGAAUAAAAGAACCCGGGUAAUGGGACGUAAAGAAGUAUAGGUAAGAACCGGUUAACAGUAAGUGUAGGGCAAACCGACGUGUAAUUGACAUUAGAAGUCAAGGAGUCAGAAGGAUAAUUCGAAAGAAAACAAUGUAGCCUUAGACUACGGUCAAGGUCAAACGAAAUCCAAAAAGUAAAGGUGAAUAAUUCUAAAACAUAAGAGGGGGUGCCUUAAUGCCAUAUGCGUAUAUAAAUGUAUACACAUUUGAAUAAAGACUUGAAUAAAAGAUGAUCUACGGGAUCAUCAUGACCUGCGGGAUAUGAAUUAAAGCAAAAGGAUCAUAAGGGUCUCACCUUAAAGAGGUGAAAACAUAAGGAAAUAGCCUACGAGGUUAAGUGAAGGAACCUACGGGUCAAUAGUGUAAGGUGAGGGAAUUUGUUACGAUUCCCCGCAUAAAGUAAGAACAGAAAACAAUAAAUUAUGAGUUAUCAAUUUCCUUGAUAUGGAUAAUUGACAAAAGUUAAAAGGAAAAUGCUAAACUAGAACUCCGGUUUUUGCAAAAAAUGACGUUUUUACGAAUAUGAAUUCUGAUAGACGAAUAUGUAAUAGGCAUGAAAGAUAUAAGUCUUGACACUGAUAAGUGCAAGAUGAUACAUUUGAAAAGAAAGGUUGGAAUAGACCUAAACAUGACGUGACGCGAUCACGGUCAAGAGAAGUAAUGUGAAGUAAUCAUAUUAUGACCCGAGUGAUGGGUACAAAGUAACUGGACUGAUAAGUCUAGUUAGUGAGAUCGGUUAAGGUCGAAACCCAAAUUAAGAAAUUGUUUAACACGUUAUUCACUACGAAGAGUAAUGUAGAAUAAACAUAAUUUAUAAACCUAUGUGACUAAGUGGCCAACGUUUGGCGACUCGGUCAAGUAAACAACAAAGGUAUAUAGAUCCAAGAGAUAAAGUGACGGCCCAUGAGACCUCACUAACAGAAAAUAUUGAUCACUUAUUUGAGGGAUCAUAAAGCUAUAAGUUCAUGAACAAAAGAAUAGUUGCUAAAAGUUAAAGAUUUCACCAAGGACCUUUAAACGGGUCAAAACGACGGAUUCAUAAAUAAUUUGAUAGUAUAUGAAAGCGAUGAAUAUCGCUAAGUUAACCGGACUAGUGGAAAUAACGAGGUUACGUUAUUUCAAGAUUGCACUAUGUAGUAUGAGAUACGUAGACAAUUAGUAACCAAAAGGAUAUUUCCAUACUUUUCUGGUAAUACUAACAAUUGGUCAAAGUAAAAGUAACGUUCAAAAGAUUUCUCGGAUCAAAUGCAUUGAGUUUGAACUCGAUGAAUUAAGCAAGAAAAGGUUUCGAGGACGAAACCUCUUUAAGGGGGGUAGACUUGUAACACCCCGAAAACAGGAUUGGAAAUUAAACUCCGUUAAUACUAAAGACGGGGAAAGUACCGUUAGCGGUAAAAGUAAACCGGAAAAUAUUAGGAAUCAAGUGAAUAAUCCUAAUAUUAAUUAAAAGUGAAUAAGAGCUUCCAGGAAAAUAGAAUGGAUAAAAGGCCCGAUUUAACGGGACUUAAAAUAAAACGGGUUUUAACUCCCGGAACCCACUAAGUUAACUAGGUAAAAUUAACCUAGUUAGUAAUGAGUAACUAAAUAAUAAACUAUGGGUUAUAGUUUCAUUUAUGAAUCUCUAAACUUGAGGGGCUAAACAUGGGCAAUUAGAGAAGUGUUUUAUUAAAACACUUAAAUAAAAAAAAACCACACAUACAUGUGUGUACGUAUGCGAUCGGAAGAAGGAGCCAGGAGAGCUCAAACCCUAGUUCAACAAAUCCUCCAAAUCGAAGCUCAAAUCAAGCCCGAAUCGUCUGCAUGACUACAAAUUCGUGAUCGCCUAGUCGUGGGGAUCAUAAGUUGACUCUAAACAAGCUAGGUGGCAGCUUGAAAAGGAACGGGUCAAACGGAUCAUGGAUGCGAAGAAUGUUUGCGCGGACGCGAGGUAAGUAAAGCUUACACUUUUUUUUAGGAUACGUAUUUACUUUAUAGAUUAUAAACACGACCAAGGUUAUAUCCGAAAUAUGGGUUCCGACACGAAAUGAUACGGGUCGGGAAGAAUAAAAGGAUAAAAACCAUGUUUAAUGACAAAAAGGGGCGAAAUGGGUUAAAUAAUGAAAUGGUAAAUAAAUACCAUUCAAAUAUAAGUGCAAAAUGUUGGUCGUUUAGACUAAACAGGUCAAAUGGUAAUGUUAACACCAUUUGACGAAUAACGACUAACACGUGCAUGUCGAGUCUAAUGCUCACAGGGUAAAACGGCUUAUGGAAUUUACGUGGCUAUGAAUCAGCAAAUUAUUAAGGCAAGGUAUUAAAACGGGUCAAUACUUUGACCCGCGCCAGGUACGCGUAAAUUUGGUGGAAGAUAUGUGAAUACCUUAAUGUAGAAAAAUGACAUGUGAAAGUAGAGAGUGGGAUUUAAACUUAAAUGAUUAAAUUCUCUCUAACGGGUCAAAAUAUGCAUUUAAGCGUAGACGGGUCAAAAUCUUGUAAAAAGGUAAUAAGCCGAAUGCAUAAAAGUCUCAAAAUUUAUUAAGCCGGAUGUCGGACUUUAACUCCAUAUGAUGGAGAAUCAAAUUACAAACAUGUAGGAAGAAAUGGUAGGUCAAACGGACAUGCGAAUUUAAAGAUACGAAAGAUUUCGUGUCAAUUACGGCAAAAUGGAAAGGCUGAAUGCAGGGGCCACCGUAACUUACGGUGCCACCGUAAGUUACGGUGGAGCUGAAUUAUUUACGGUGGUUGCCUACUGUUGUACGGUAGGAAAAUUUGAUUACAGAGGCCACCGUAACUUACGGUGCCACCGUAAGUUACGGUGGAGGUCAUUUUCAAAUUUUUGUUUUUGGAAUCAAUGGUUUCCCGGACUCGUUUGGACACGUUUUAAAGCCCGUAAGACUAAAUCAUUUCGUGUUUAUGAAAUGUAGGUACAUUUUGGAUGCCGGAAGACGAUCAAGCUCGACGAAGGACCGAACACGAUAUAGAUACAUGCUUCCGCACUUUAACACUUUGCAAAUUUUAAACAACGAAUUCAACCACGUUAUGUAGAAUAACUUAUGAAUUGUAAAAGUUUUAAUAAAUUCGUAUUUUUAUAGUAUGUGUAGGCUUAACUAC
rnacentral:lncRNA from 1 species